rnacentral:rRNA from 1 species
CCUACGGGAGGCAGCAGUGGGGACUAUUGCACAAUGGGGGGAACCCUGAUGCAGCAACGCCGCGUGGGUGAAGAAGUACUUCGGUAUGUAAAGCCCUGUCAGCAGGGAAGAAAAUGACGGUACCUGACCAAGAAGCCCCGGCUAACUACGUGCCAGCAGCCGCGGUAAUACGUAGGGGGCAAGCGUUAUCCGGAUUUACUGGGUGUAAAGGGAGCGUAGACGGCAAGGCAAGUCUGGAGUGAAAGCCCGUGGGUCAACCACGGGACUGCUUUUGAAACUGUGUUGCUGGAGUGCAGGAGGGGUAAGCGGAAGUCCUAGUGUAGCGGUGAAAUGCGUAGAUAUUAGGAGGAACACCGGUGGCGAAGGCGGCUUACUGGACUGUAACUGACGUUGAGGCUCGAAGGCGUGGGGAGCGAACAGGAUUAGAUACCCGGGUAGUC